CAGUAGCCGCGGGAAUACGAAGGGGGCUAGCGUUGCUCGGAAUGACUGGGCGUAAAGGGCGCGUAGGCGGCGGCCAAAGUCAGGCGUGAAAUUCCCGGGCUCAACCUGGGGGCUGCGCUUGAUACUUGGUUGCUUGAGUGGGGAAGAGGGUCGUGGAAUUCCCAGUGUAGAGGUGAAAUUCGUAGAUAUUGGGAAGAACACCGGUGGCGAAGGCGGCGACCUGGUCCUUUACUGACGCUGAGGCGCGAAAGCGUGGGGAGCAAACAGGAUUAGAUACCCCGGUAGUCCCUGUCUCUUAUAC
rnacentral:rRNA from 1 species